GGGCAGCUUGCCAGUGCUCUCCUGAUGCUAUUUCUGAGGAGCAGUCGGUAAGCUGACAGUGAUUUUGGUGUGCUUUGUCCUAGUGUGCCUCCUUUCCUCCUUUCUGUGUAACACAGGAUACCUGUGUUGCCCCAUAUUUGGUCAUUAGGCAGACCCCUAAGGAGUUGGGAAUUAAUGCCCCUAAUACUGCUGAGAGUGCCACUAGACAAGGAAUGACCCAUGUCCCUAGACCCCCAACCCAUCCAGGGGAGGACAUAGCCUCCAUGGAGCAGAUGAACUCGGAGGAGUUCCACUCGCUCCUGGACGCUACAAUGACCAAAUCAGUCACCCAGGCCAUUUUUACUGCAAUGGGGGCGAUGUCGGACAAUUUGUCCCACCCCAUUUAUAAUGCUAUUCUGGCGUCUAGUCACG